AUGAGUGAGCUUAAAUGAUUUUUGAUGGGAGUAUGGUAGGCAUAUAUUCAUUUGUCUAGUUCUCUAUAUUUCUCUGCUUGAAAAAUGGUUCAAUGUGUCUAGGCAAUAAGUUGGUAUUGGAAAGGUGAAACAGUGAUUUGUAACUUGUAUUUCUUGCAAUACAUUCAUGAAUAGGAAGGUGAGACAACACCUCAACAAACAGAAGGAUCAAAAAUGAAAUUCUCUUGUUUGUCUGUUUGGUGUUUUUGGUUGGGGGGUUGGUUGCAGAAGCAAACUAAUCUUGCAAUACAUUCAUGAAUAGGAAGGUGAGACAACACCUCAACAAACAGAAGGAUCAAAAAUGAAAUUCUCUUGUUUGUCUGUUUGGUGUUUUUGGUUGGGGGGUUGGUUGCAGAAGCAAACUAAUCAAUUUUCCAAGAACUUUGGAUCUUUCUUAUAGAAGUUUUAUUCAUAAAUGAAAAAUAAAAAAUAAAAAAAAAAUCCUUCACACAAUUAGUUUUGAAUAUACACAACUACACAAAAAAUUGCAUUUUUCUAAUAGAACUUUUAUUCAUA
rnacentral:lncRNA from 1 species